AGCCUGGUCAGCAAAGUGAGACUCUGUCUUAAAAAAAAAAAAAAAAGAAAAAGAAAAAGAAAAGAACAGUAAAAGGAAGAUUGAUAUAUAAAAAAUUAGAAAAUAUUUUUUGAAAGAGUAUAGGAAUGUGUUAUAGUAUAGGAAUUGAUGAAAACAUGGAAUUGAAAAUGAGUUGGAGACAGGGCAACAAAAGCAAGUAUUCUAGAAUCCUAGCUUAUCAAAGGUUUAUAUUUAUUUCAUUUGAAAGCAGUAGGCUACUUAUUUAUAAAAUCUAUUAUAAUUCAUUAUUUAUGAUAAUUAGUAGAUUCCAUAUUUGUAACAAUGAUUUUUAAACCUACUUUCCUAUUAUAAAAUAAUGAUAGACAUAAAUAUGGUCAGCUCAUAUAUUUAUCUGCCUGUGUCCUAGGCAUUUUCUUCUGGCUUGCCUUAUCCUCACACACAUCUGAAGUGAAUGUAGUAUUUUAACUAUCUGAGAUUGAUUAAGUAUAGGUAUACAUUGCCUUAUUGAGCUUCACUUUAUUGCUUUUCACAGAUAGUGCUUUUUUUUUUUUUUUUCCAAAUAAAAAAUAAAAGCUUUGUGUCAACUCUGUGUUGGUCAAGUCUAUUGGUGCCAUUCUUUCAACAGCCUAUGCUUAUUUUGUGUCUCUGUGCCACAUUUGGUAAUUCUUGCAGUAUUUGGAGCUUUUUCAUUGUUAUUACAUCCAUUAUGAUGAUUUGUGAUCAGUAAUCUUUUUGAUGUUACUAUUGUGAUCAUUUUAGAGGUUUGUAUUGAACUUAAUUGAUCAAUGUAUGUGUUCCAACUGCCUGACCAAUCAGCCGGUCCUCAUCUCUCUCCCUCUCCUUGGAUCUCCCUGUUCCCUGAGACACAACAGUAUUGAAAUUAGGCCAUUUAAUAACCCUGCAGUGGCCUCUAAGUGUUCAAGUGAAAGGCAGAGUCACACAUACUCUCACUUUAAAUCAAAAGCUAGAAUGAUUAAGCUUAGUGAGGAAAGUAUGUCAAAAGCCGAGAUAGACCAAAAGCUAGGCCCUUUGUGCUAAACAGUUAGCCAAGUUGUGAAUGCAAAGAAAAAUUGUCAGAGGAAAUUAAAAGUGCUACUUCAGUAAACACACAAAUAAGAAAGUAAAUAGAGAUCAAAACAGCCACAACAUUUUCUGAAGGCAAAGCCUAAUCCAGAGCAGGGUCCUAAUGUUACUCAAUUCUGUGAAGGCUGAGAAAGGUUGAGGAAGCUACAGAGGAAAAACUAGCAGAGGUUGGUUCAUGGGUCUUAAGGAAGGAAGCCAUCUCCAUACCAUACAAGUGCAAGGUGAAGCAGCAAGUGCUGAUGUAGAAGCUGCAUUUUAUCCAGAAGACCUCUAGCCAAGAUCAUUGAUGAACAUAACUACUCUAACCAACAGAUAUUCAGUGGAGACAGAACAGCCUUCUAUUGGAAGGAGAUGCCAUCUAGAAUCUUCCUAGAGAGGAAAAGUCAGUGGCCUGACUUCAAAGCUUCAAAGAAUAGGUUGACUCUCUUGUUAUGGGGUAGUACAGCUGGUGAUUUUAAGUGGAAGACAGUGCGUCUUUACCAUUCCAAAAAUCCUGGGGUCCUUAAGAAUUAUCCUAAAUCUACUUGUGCUCUAUAAAUGGAAGAAAAAAGCCUGCAUGAUAGCACAUCUGUUUACAGCGUGGUUUACUGAAUAUUUGAAGCCCACUGUUGAGACCUACUGCUCAGGAAAAGAAGAUUCAAAAUAUGACUGCUUAUUGACAAUGUACUUAGUCAUCCGUGAGCUCUGAUGGAGAUGUACAAGGAGAUGAAUGUUGUUUUCAUGCCCACUCAACAUCCAUUAUGCAGCCCAUGGAUCAAGGAAUAAGUUUUACUUUUAUGUCCUGUUAUUUAAGAAAUGCAUUUCAUAAGACUGUAACUGCCAUUAGAUAGUGAUUCCUCUGAUGGAUUUGGGAAAAGUAAACUGAAAACCUGGAAAGGAGUCACAAUUUUAGGUGUCAUUAGGAACAUUUGUGAUUUGUCAAAGAUGUGCAGAUAUCAAA